rnacentral:rRNA from 1 species
UGGGGAAUAUUGCACAAUGGACGGAAGUCUGAUGCAGCAACGCCGCGUGCGGGAUGACGGCCUUCGGGUUGUAAACCGCUUUUUCUCAUGACGAAGUUUUUUGACGGUAGUGGGGGAAGAAGCACCGGCUAACUACGUGCCAGCAGCCGCGGUGAUACGUAGGGUGCGAGCGUUGUCCGGAAUUAUUGGGCGUAAAGAGCUUGUAGGCGGUUUGUCGCGUCGAUAGUGCAAACUCAGUGCUUAACGCUGAGCCUGCUGUUGAUACGGGCAGACUAGAGGAAGGUAGGGGAGAAUGGAAUUCCCGGUGGAGCGGUGGAAUGCGCAGAUAUCGGGAGUAACACCGGUGGCGAAGGCGGUUCUCUGGGCCUUUCCUGACGCUGAGAAGCGAAAGCGUGGGGAGCGAACAGG